rnacentral:rRNA from 1 species
GACGUAGGUGGCAAGCGUUGUUCGGAAUCACUGGGCAUAAAGCGCACGUAGGCGGCUGAGUAAGUCGGAUGUGAAAUACCUCGGCUCAACCGAGGAACUGCGUCCGAUACUGCUCGGCUUGAGGUCCGGAGGGGAGAGUGGAAUUCCCGGUGGAGCGGUGAAAUGCGUAGAGAUCGGGAAGAACGCCGGCGGCGAAAGCGACUCUCUGGUCGGAAUCUGACGCUGAGGUGCGAAAGCUAGGGGAGCAAACGGG